AAUUACUGCAGUUAGGGCUUUUUCCUUUUGUCGUUUUGGCAGGUGUUGGUGAAGCAACAACCUGGAUGAACGAUAACCCUUUGUACGAUGGUUUUGAGAAGAUAAAAAGCUGUGUCUUCUUCCAUCAAAGAAGAGCAGCCACAGAACGAGGAGAGUUGAAACUGGUCAAUGUGAUAUACCAUGGCAGAUAGGGACCAGAGCACCAUGUCAUAGUGGAGCCACUCUUGGAAGGAUGACAUAAGUGAGAUAAGUCAUGUGGAUUUUAUCCAUGAAGGAAGCCCAGAAAAUACAGAUGUUUGUUAGUGCUGACUAUGUAAAGUAAGCAGAUUAAAACCUGUCUCAGAAGCCUUUGUAGGGAGUGUCAAACUGCGACCCAGUGCAAAAUCACGUAAUUUGAAGAUGAAGGUAUCAAAAGCAGCAGGAGCCAGGAGAGACCUUGGAGCUACUCUGUUUGUUUAACUGGAAAUCCUUUCUCUCUCCCACCCUCACCAACCCACAACUGAAAUGGUUUAAUGAGAACGUUACUUGGUGACAGUGUCAGGUUGUGCCAUUACUCAUUAAAGAGCCCUUCCUUGGUUGGCUGAGGAAAGGAUUUAUUCAGGUCUAUUGCAAAGACAAGGAGAAGGAGUGAGAAGAAUCAAGCUGAUUUUCUGCUGGUUCCUGGUGUAGUGGAUAUUGUGAUGCUUGAUGACUUCUGUACAGAUCCCAUCACCAUUUUCAGUUAUUUUGCAUGGGUUGAAUGCUUAUUUCAGCUUAUUUUGCAACUGUGCUGUGUCAGGGAUGAAUCCUAGGAUGUGGAGAGCAUUAGGGCAGAUCUCACUG